rfam:Anopheles sinensis unplaced genomic scaffold AS2_scf7180000696055, whole genome shotgun sequence.
GGUCCUGUGGCGCAAUAGGUUAACGCAUCCGACUCCGGAUUGGAAGAUUCCAGGUUCGAGUCCUGGCAGGAUCG